rnacentral:rRNA from 1 species
CAAAUCAGGUAGGAUUACCCGCUGAACUUAAGCAUAUCAAU